rnacentral:rRNA from 1 species
CCUACGGGAGGCAGCAGUGGGGAAUAUUGCACAAUGGGGGAAACCCUGAUGCAGCAACGCCGCGUGAAUGAAGAAGUAUUUCGGAUUGUAAACUUCUAUUCGCAGGGAAGAAAAUGACGGUACCUGAGUAAGAAGCCCCGGCUAACUACGUGCCAGCAGCCGCGGUAAUACGUAGGGGGCAAGCGUUUUCCGGAUUUACUGGGUGUAAAGGGAGCGUAGACGGCAGUGCAAAUCUGGAGUGGAAUGCUGCGGUUUUACCCUGGGACUUGUAGUGAAACUGUACGUCUGUAGUGCAAGAGAGGGAUGAGGAAAUCCGGAGGGUGCGGUGAAAAUGG